ACAGACGACCAUUGCUCUGUAGCACCUCGCAGAGUUGGGCACUCUUGCGUAGAUAAGCGCAGAAGCGGUAGAGUAGUACCGUAGUGGGCGACCAUGCGAGAAUGCCUGCUGUCGUUUGUU
rfam:Rachicladosporium antarcticum strain CCFEE 5527 scaffold_46, whole genome shotgun sequence.